rnacentral:ncRNA from 1 species
AAGGCGAAAUGAAGGUGAACGCCGGCGCGGUCCGGCGGAGGUUGGAUCCCGUCCCGUCGGGGCGGGCGCACUACCGGCCGAUCUUCUCCGCCCUGUCGGCGAGGUCGAGCGAGAGCGUGCAAGUCGGGACCCGAAAGAUGGUGAACUAUGCCUGAGGAGGUUGAAGCCAGAGGAAACUCUGGUGGAGGACCGUAGCGAUUCUGACGUGCAAAUCGAUCGUCAAAUUUGGGUAUAGGGGCGAAAGACUAAUCGAACCGUCUAGUAGCUGG